CCCACCCCCUUCUCUCAUCAGAAACUUUGAAGCGAAGCUAUGCAGGAAAACCCCAGAGACAGGAAGCCCUAGCCGUCGACUUUCUCUCCUCGCGUCGUCUCUUUCUCUCCUCUUUCUCUCUCUUUGCUGCGCCUCUCUCCCUCUCUCCUCGCCGUGAGAAACCGCGAGUGGUGGUGGUGGCUGUGUGGUGUGUUGUUGCCAAUCUCGAACUCUCAUUCUUCCUUGUUUCAGAUCUACUCAAAUCUAAUCCCAGGUGAGGUGUUUUGAACCCAGAUCUGUUCUCAUGCCCUUUUAUACUGUUGUAUGUGGAUCUAGGAUUGAUUAGACCCUGAUUGAAAGCUAAGAUGGUAGAUCAUGUUGCAUAAGAACACUCAUACUGUUAAAGGACCUUAAUGGACUAACUUGUGUUGAUGUGGAUUUCUGAUUUGAGUGUGUGACUUGAAUGUUUGUGAAAGCUAGGGUGUUUAGAAAGAAUUAAAUGUAGGUUCCUAGAACACUGCUAACCGGUCCAGUUAGAUGAAUGCUAAGAACCGUGUGAUUGGAAGUUGUAUGAAUUGAGUGUGACACUGAGAACAGGUGGCAUCUAGUAUUGAAUGGAAGUGUAUAAGUAAGGUUAAAAAAAAAAGGAAAUGAAUCCGGUUAAAAGAAAUAUAAAGGUUAAUAAAAAUAGGUAUAGAACUAGACACCGGUAAAGGUGAUGUCUAGGGACGCUGACCGCGGUGGGAAAAAGAAAGCGGGGCUGAGGGCCGUGAAAGGACGGCGACAGCGACGGCGGUUUCAAUGGCACCAGUUAAGAUCGAGUCAAUGCCGAGUAGUGGCAGUAAGUGAUCAGCCGAGGUGGAACCUUAUCUGGACCUGUAUGUUUGCGCAUACCAGCGGCCGAUUGCAAGGAUGCACGUCAUGUAAGACCGGAAAGUGAUUCCUUGGGUGUGCAUCAGAGAUCUAGAGUUUAUAAGAAUCUAGAGGUUAUAAGAACCAAGUGUUAUGAGAACCUAGAGUUCUAGGAUAAACAAAAGUCAAAACUAAGUGUGUGCUUGAGUGGUGACUGAGAUCCCACAAUGAUUGGUUGAGUGAAAUAAAAAAUUAUAUAAUCUUGUAGUUAAGUUGCCUCAAAAUGAUGAUAGACAGUGGCUAGUCAAUUCUCUUUCGCAUAGAGCGGUAUAAAGGUUCAUACGGAGAGACUGGUCUAGAAUCACUUUACUGAGUAGUCGUAUUCACCUCUCUCUUUUUUUCCAUUUUAGCAAAACUGUAAGUGAAGUGUCGGAAAUGGCCGUGAUGGAUGGUUUGUAACAAAAGAAACACACCUGAAGUUCUUGAGACCUGUAACAGGACAGACGGAAAUGUCAGAUGUGUAGAUAUGGGUGUCCUUAACCCCGCGCUCGGUAAUCCCCGGUAAUGUUGGGAGAGGCGGCUGUUACAUCAUUGUUUGAUAGGUUUUGAGGAGUUAGCGAAACUCAUCUCCAUGAUCAAGCUAGCCAUUUACAUGUGGACAAUGAGUAAAUGAUAUAAUGUUUGGCACACCGUGAUUUUUGUUUCGACAUGAUUUGGUAGGUUGUUAUAAUAUUAUUCCAGACAUAAUUAUUAGCUGUUCGAAUAUUUAAAAAGCAGACAUGGUUGUUUAGAGAUGUAAUAUCAAAUGUCAAGUUUCAUCAACUUUCUUA
rnacentral:lncRNA from 1 species